rnacentral:tRNA from 1 species
GACUCGUUAGCUCAGUUGGUAGAGCAAUUGACUUUUAAUCAAUGGGUCGCUGGGUCGAGCCCAGCACGAGUCA